rnacentral:lncRNA from 1 species
UUCCUAAUUAAGUGUUUAAGCCUAUAAAAAGGCCUGAUCAGUGGAACAGGGGACGUGUGGUGGCCUGUGGUCUCACAGGGUGGCUCAAUUUUUUCGUGAACGCAUGGACUGCUUCGCACGAAAAUCAGAGAAUAGAAUCCCGUGAAGAGAGAGACAUGCUGAGAGGAGCAGAGCUCCUGGACAGCGGACAGCGAUCACUUCAGGGGUUCAAAGAGGUCUUCCAAGAGAGCUUUUGUGAGGGAGAAUUUCUUGUGAGGAAAAAAUUGGGUGUACGAAGAUUGAGGGUG